UCGCUGAAGUCCUCUGUGGCAAAGUCCACGUUUUUCAGUUUCUGCCCUCUUUUUCUCUUUUUGAUUGAGGAAAGGGGAGAAGGGUGCAGAAUACAGACAGAUUAUGGUUAUCAGGUACUCUGAAUAUGGAAGAGCCGUUUCGGAGACUGAGCAAGGCCGUUGCUACAGCCAGCAAACAAGUGUGUUUCAUUCCCACUGACAUUGCUGUGGAGAUGCAAGAGGAACACCAAAUCCUCAGACUUAUUGCAGUUUAUGGAAAAAAAUGGAGCUGGGAAUUUAUAGCAGACCUGGCAAGAAUGAAUGGUGGUGUGGGAUAAACUGAAGGGAUUGUUCCUGGUGAACUCAAGGAAAGACAAGGUGAUCAGGCUUAGGAAGCCCCAUCUGAUUAAAGAAAAAACUGAACCACACGAAAUGGGAACAGAGUAACUCAAAGUCACAUGAAAGAUUAAUGCACAUGGUAAGAACAGAAACACUGCUGGAUUGCAGCCUACCAUGAUGUCAGAGUACUACUUCUUACUAGAAGAGACAUCCUGUUAAAAGAGAAGAAAACCACAAAACAAUGUUAUUAUCUAAUUGUUAACAUGCUUGUGAAAUCAAACCAACCACUGUUGCCAGACUCUCUCAUAGAUUGUCCCGUCUUAUGUGGAGGAAAAAUCCUAAGUGUUCAUGCAUGGACAGACUGAGCUUGAGUAUCAGAGAGCUAAGGCAGCUCUCUGAUACUUUAUUUUUAACCAUUCUACAAGCGAUGCCUACAAUCUAAGACACAACUGUAUCUAAUGUGGUGUUAAUCACAGGUGUGCAAAAGCGCCAAUAUGAAUAGGAGGACAGUUCUGAAUGGUUACCUUAGAUAGAUCACAUGCCUCUAAAGAGCAAUCUAUACCAUGGAGAGGUUUAAAGUCCUACCAUCAAGUUAGCAAACGAUCUUGCCGUUGAUUUUCAGUCCUCAUCUUUUUCUUGUGGUAAAUACAUUAAAAUGUGAUGAAUUUAACAAACUGCUCCAAAACUACAUCAAGGACACUUGUGCAGCCUGAAUUCUGGAUUCCUGGAUAACCAGAAUAGUAUGACUCAGAGGACCGUAUCAGCUUUCCAGUCAUCUAUUUUACAAAAAUACUUGAAGUACUUCUUAAACAUUUCCAACUAUAAUUGCGUGGUUAUUUUAGCCCUUUGCACUUACACUGUGAAAUACUCAAAUUAAACAAGACUAAUUGCAUAUUCUUUUUGUACAGGAUGAUAUUUAUCCCAAGUGGUGUAACUGGCACUUUGUUUAUGUGUACACUGUGUAACUCAGGGUAAUACAGAGAUACCCAAGUUAACUGGAAAGAACAAGAUCAUGACAAUUACAGCAAAAGCAUAGACAACAUGGAAGGGAGGAGCAGAUGAAGGAAAACUACAUCCAGAACAUAACAUUCUUAAGCUUCCACAAUUGGGCAAAUCUAAGUAGCUUUACAAUAUUUUUACCAGUGAAUAAAUCUCUCUUCUCUGGAAAUUUGCACUAGGGACCGUUGUUAGAAUCAGAAUCCUGUUCUAAGAGCAUGAUGAAAAAUGUUGCACUCCAAGUUGGAAAUUGGAGAGGAAAACGAUCCUGUAUACGUAAGAAUUGUACUCAAACCACUGAUUACACUUUUUCUUCCCCCUUAACAGAUGCUUACACCUUUUACUUUUAACCUGAGAAGCAACGGGUAGUUUCCACAUUUCCCUUGGGGAUAGUGUACUCUUCUGUCUUUUGCUUCUGUACAAACAGUUCAAAAUUUUAAAGUCAUGUUGUCAGACAUACACCCAAACAACCUUGCACGGCAUUACAUGUUCCGCCCCCCCCCCCUCCUCGUCCCCCUCGUCCCCGUCCCCAGUCCCGUCCCUCCCCCCAAGACAGGUCAAGCCCUGAAGGCAAGACCAGACAAGUAAAUAAUGUGAACAUAGAAAAGUAACUUGUAAAUACAUUACGUUUUGGCAGUUUUUUGGCGCUUUGUGGGGCUUAACUGCGCUUCAGUGAGAAGAACGUCUACUGGUGUGAACUGAAAUUAUGCCUCUGUGCCACAAUGUAUUUUUUUUGUUUGUUUGUUUUUUGGGGGGAGGGGGUGGGGCAAAAUUUCUUGUGGACACCUGCAGGAGUUGCAAGAUAAUAAUAAAAUGUAGGUGAAGGAAAAGUUCCUUCUGUGUUGUUGUUGGUUUUGUUUUCUUUUCCAUGCAGUCUUAAAAUGAAGGUCCCAUUUUCGGGCCCUUGGCAGAGUGUAAGCAUGCCGGAACACUUCACGCUACGUAGAUCAUAUUUGUCUGAAAUGAUAAUAUCAUCCUGUGAAAUAUGUUCAUCUGAUUCGUGUCAAUAUGGAACAAUGCUAGGGCCUCAGCAUGAAAUGUGACCUUCUGUCUUACAUCCUCUUGUAUAAAUAACCACAAGUCCAAGAGAAACAGAGUGGUUAGUGUAUCUAGUUCUUGUAUCUUGCAAAAGAAUGGUCUAGCAGUUCAUGUCGAUAGAGGGUUUGAAGGGUAAACCUUGAGACUCAGGUCUGGGAGAUAAGAGAAUAGGGGGGAGUUUUUUGAGCUAACUGCUGACUAUUUCAUGAGACACAACUUUCUGACAUGUGGCCCAGAGACCACUAAAUAAGGAGGGUGGUGGUGGUGUGGGGAAGCUGAGGAACAAAGGACGAAGGACGAAGCCUGGGAGGAAGACUACGAGCCUUCAGUACGAGCGACCCCCAGAGGGACUGCCGGAGACUGAUACGUAUGCAUCCGUGGGAUGGUUCGGGUGCCGGGAAACUAAUUAUAAGAACCCUGCCUUUUCCAAAAGUGGUGAUGAAUAUGUAUUAGCCUAGGAGCAUAAAAACCAGCCGCCUGAUGUAACUGGUGUGCAUCUUGGUGGAACAGA